AUUGAACGCUGGCGGCAGGCCUAACACAUGCAAGUCGAGCGAGCGGCGGACGGGUGAGUAAUGUGUGGGAAACUGCCCGAUGGAGGGGGAUAACUACUGGAAACGGUAGCCAAUACCGCAUACCAUCAGAUGUUGCCAGAUGGGAUUAGCUAGUGGGUGGGGUAACGGCUCACCUAGGCGACGAUCCCUAGCUGGUCUGCGAGGAUGACCAGCCAAACUGGAACGGAGACACGGCCCAGACUCCUACGGGAGGCAGCAGUGGGGAAUAUUGCACAAUGGGCGAAAGCCUGAUGCAGAAAGGCCGCGUGUGUGAAGAAGGCUUUCGGGUGGUAAAGCACUUUCAGCGGGGAGGCGGUACCCAAAGAGGAAGCACCGGCUAACUACGUGCCAGCAGCCGCGGUAAUAC
rnacentral:rRNA from 1 species